rnacentral:snRNA from 1 species
GCAUGUGAGGUUGAUCUGGCUGUAAAGUCUGUCUCUCCUUUGGUCCCCAAGGUUGAUUGGGCUUAUCUGACUUGCUAUGUGGGUGUCCACUUCCUCCUGCACCACUCCAUGUUAUCUUCCUGAAUCAGUGUGUUUAGCUGAAGAGGAUAACCUUCUUCAAUAUAGGAGGACCAUUGUUUGGUCAAGGACAGAUCAGUAGUAACCAGACAGUGAGGAUAAGUGUGGGAGCAGGUUACCCCAAAUCAUAACCCAACAUAGUUUUUAAGGGUUGAUAGAACCAUUU